AACGCACAUUGCGCCCAUUAGUAUUCUAGUGGGCAUGCCUGUUCGAGCGUCAUUUCAACCCUUAAGCCCCUGUUGCUUAGCGUUGAGAGCCUACAGCAUUGUAGCUCCUCAAAGUUAGUGGCGGAGUCGGUCCUCACACUCUAGACGUAGUAAAUCUUUCUCGUUUACAGUUGAGCCGGUCCCUUGCCGUAAAACCCCCUAAAUUUUUAAGGUUGACCUCGGAUCAGGUAGGAAUACCCGCUGAACUUAA
rnacentral:misc_RNA from 1 species